AACGACGCUGGCGGCAGGCCUAAAACAUGCAAGUCGAACGAACCUUCGGGUUAGUGGCGCACGGGUGAGUAACGCGUGGGAAUGUGCCUCUGGGUGCGGAACAACGUCGGGAAACUGACGCUAAUACCGCAUAAUGUCUACGGACCAAAGAUUUAUCGCCCAGAGAUCAGCCCGCGUCUGAUUAGCUAGUUGGUGAGGUAACGGCUCACCAAGGCUACGAUCAGUAGCUGGUCUGAGAGGAUGAUCAGCCACACUGGAACUGAGACACGGUCCAGACUCCUACGGGAGGCAGCAGUUAGGAAUAUUGGACAAUGGGGGAAACCCUGAUCCAGCCAUGCCGCGUGUGUGAAGAAGGCCUUAGGGUUGUAAAGCACUUUCGGCUGUGAAGAUAAUGACAGUAGCAGAAGAAGAAGCUCCGGCUAAACUUCGUG
rnacentral:rRNA from 1 species